AGAGUUUGAUCCUGGCUCAGAAUCAACGCUGGCGGCGUGCCUAACACAUGCAAGUCGAACGCGAAAGUCCCGCAAGGGAUGAGUAGAGUGGCAAACGGGUGAGUAACACGUGGGUGACCUGCCUUCGAGUGGGGGAUAACGUCCCGAAAGGGACGCUAAUACCGCAUAACAUCCUGCCUUUGAAGAGGUGGAGAUCAAAGCCGGGGACCGCAAGGCCUGGCGCUCAGAGAGGGGCCCGCGUCUGAUUAGCUAGUUGGUGAGGUAAUGGCUCACCAAGGCAACGAUCAGUAUCCGGCCUGAGAGGGCGGACGGACACACUGGGACUGAGACACGGCCCAGACUCCUACGGGAGGCAGCAGUGGGGAAUUGUUCGCAAUGGGCGCAAGCCUGACGACGCAACGCCGCGUGGAGGAUGAAGACCUUCGGGUCGUAAACUCCUUUCGAUCGAGACGAACGGUCUCCGGGUGAACAAUCCGGGGAAGUGACGGUACCGAGAGAAGAAGCCCCGGCUAACUCCGUGCCAGCAGCCGCGGUAAUACGGGGGGGGCAAGCGUUGUUCGGAAUUACUGGGCGUAAAGGGCUCGUAGGUGGCCAACUAAGUCAGACGUGAAAUCCCUCGGCUUAACCGGGGAACUGCGUCUGAUACUGGAUGGCUUGAGUUCGGGAGAGGGAUGCGGAAUUCCAGGUGUAGCGGUGAAAUGCGUAGAUAUCUGGAGGAACACCGGUGGCGAAGGCGGCAUCCUGGACCAACACUGACGCUGAGGAGCGCAAGCCAGGGGAGCAAACGGGAUUAGAUACCCCGGUAGUCCUGGCCCUAAACGAUGAAUGCUUGGUGUGGCGGGUAUCGAUCCCUGCCGUGCCGAAGCUAACGCAUUAAGCAUUCCGCCU
rnacentral:rRNA from 1 species